GACGAACGCUGGCGGCGUGCUUAACACAUGCAAGUCGAACGGUGAAGCGCCUUCCUUUUUGGUGGGUGUGGAUGAGUGGCGAACGGGUGAGUAACACGUGAGUAACCUGCCCCCUUCUUCUGGAUAACCGCAUGAAAGUGUGGCUAAUACGGGAUAUUCUGGGUCUGUCGCAUGAUGGGUCUGGGAAAGAUAUUGUUUCGGUGGGGGAUGGGCUCGCGGCCUAUCAGCUUGUUGGUGGGGUGAUGGCCUACCAAGGCGGUGACGGGUAGCCGGCCUGAGAGGGUGGACGGUCACACUGGGACUGAGACACGGCCCAGACUCCUACGGGAGGCAGCAGUGGGGAAUAUUGCACAAUGGGCGCAAGCCUGAUGCAGCGACGCCGCGUGAGGGAUGGAGGCCUUCGGGUUGUGAACCUCUUUCGCCAGUGAAGCAGGCCUGCCUCGUUUGUGGGUGGGUGGACGGGAGCUGGAUAAGAAGCGCCGGCUAACUACGU
rnacentral:rRNA from 1 species